rnacentral:tRNA from 1 species
GGUAAUGUAAAUCAGUGGUAGAGUGCUUGCCUAGCAUGCAUGAGGCCCUGGGUUUAAUCCCAAGUACCA